rnacentral:tRNA from 1 species
GCAGGUAUAGCUCAGUGGCAGAGCACUCGCCUGGCAUACGAGAAUCCCUGGGUUUGAUUCCCAGCACCACUA